UACGUAGGGGGCUAGCGUUGUCCGGAAUCAUUGGGCGUAAAGAGCGCGUAGGCGGCCAGAUAAGUCCGGUGUGAAAGUCAGAGGCUCAACCUUUGAAUGCCGCUGGAAACUGUCUGGCUAGAGUCCGGAAGGGGCGAGUGGAAUUCCUGGUGUAGCGGUGAAAUGCGCAGAUAUCUGGAGGAACACCGGUGGCGAAGGCAGCUCUCUGGGACGGUACUGGACGCUGAGACGCGAAAGCGUGGGGAGCGAACAGG
rnacentral:rRNA from 1 species